rnacentral:rRNA from 1 species
AACGAACGCUGGCGGCAUGCCUAACACAUGCAAGUCGAACGAAGCCUUCGGGCUUAGUGGCGCACGGGUGCGUAACGCGUGGGAAUCUGCCCUUGGGUUCGGAAUAACAGUUAGAAAUGACUGCUAAUACCGGAUGAUGUCUUCGGACCAAAGAUUUAUCGCCCAAGGAUGAGCCCGCGUAGGAUUAGGUAGUUGGUGGGGUAAUGGCCCACCAAGCCGACGAUCCUUAGCUGGUCUGAGAGGAUGAUCAGCCACACUGGGACUGAGACACGGCCCAGACUCCUACGGGAGGCAGCAGUGGGGAAUAUGGGACAAUGGGCGAAAGCCUGAUCCAGCAAUGCCGCGUGAGUGAUGAAGGCCUUAGGGUUGUAAAGCUCUUUUACCAGGGAUGAUAAUGACAGUACCUGGAGAAUAAGCUCCGGCUAACUCCGUGCCAGCAGCC